rnacentral:rRNA from 1 species
GACGGAGGGGGCGAGCGUUGUUCGGAUUUAUUGGGCGUAAAGGGCGUGUAGGCGGCCAGAUAAGUCAGAUGUGAAAGCCCCUGGCUUAACCAGGGAAGCGCGUCUGAUACUGUCUGGCUUGAGGGCGGGAGAGGAGAGUGGAAUUCCCGGUGUAGCGGUGAAAUGCGUAGAUAUCGGGAAGAACACCGGUGGCGAAGGCGGCUCUCUGGACCGCUUCUGACGCUGAGACGCGAAAGCUAGGGGAGCAAACGGG